rnacentral:rRNA from 1 species
UGGGGAAUAUUGGACAAUGGGGGGAACCCUGAUCCAGCCAUGCCGCGUGUGUGAAGAAGGCAUUUUUGUUGUAAAGCACUUUAAGCGGGGAGGAGGCUUACGUAGUUAAUACCUAUGAUAAGUGGACGUUACCCGCAGAAUAAGCACCGGCUAACUCUGUGCCAGCAGCCGCGGUAAUACAGAGGGUGCAAGCGUUAAUCGGAUUUACUGGGCGUAAAGCGUGCGUAGGCGGCUUUUUAAGUUGGAUGUGAAAUCCCCGAGCUUAACUUGGGAAUUGCAUUCAAAACUGAGGAGCUAGAGUAUUGGAGAGGAUGGUAGAAUUCCAGGUGUAGCGGUGAAAUGCGUAGAGAUCUGGAGGAAUACCGAUGGCGAAGGCAGCCAUCUGGCCAAAUACUGACGC